rnacentral:lncRNA from 1 species
GUGAAGGAUACCAUUCUCAGCAAAGAAAUUGAUUCCAGCAUUACUAGUUCCAAGUUCAAGAGCAUUAUCACUCCUGAUGGUUUGGACAACAGUCUGAAAUUGAGUUUUGAUCAUGGCAAUGAAUGCCUUGAUAAUGGGAAAGGCAUUGCUUUUGGACCCCAUAAGGUGUCCAAGUAGCUCUAGUAAAAUCAUCAACUAUUGUUAAAAAUAUUUGCACCCAGUAUGGGUGGCAGUGGCAUAAGGGCCCCAGGUAUCUAGAUGGAUGAGCUGAAAAGGAUGUGUUGUUUUUAUAGAACUUUCAGGAAAGGGCAAUCUAGACUGUCUUGCUAAUGGACAGAUAGUACAUAUAAAAGGUUGUUUAUUUGCAAAUUUACAUGGAAUAGAAGAAAUGUCUUUCGUUCUAACAAAAGGAAUGUGCCCUAGUUUGUUAUGCCAUAAUAUCUCCAUUUUAUUCAAUUCAGAAUAGUAUGUACAAUGAGAAGAAGAAACAGAAGCAAUGAUAGUGCAUAUAAAAGGCUGUUUAUUUGCAAAUUUACAUUGGAAUAGAAGGAAUGUCUUUCAUUCUGACAAAAGGAAUGUGCCCUAGUCUAUUAUGCCAUAAUAUCUCCAUUUUAUUCAAUUCAAAAUGGUAUGUACAAUGAGAAGAAGAAACAGAAGCAACAGCUAAUGGAGAAUGGUAAUUACAAGGAGUAUAGGAUUGAGAGGGAGUAGAAAGGGAAGAUUGCACAAGCCUGUAAAGACCAUCAUCCAGCUUACCAAUUUCCAGUGGCCUCUUCAUAGAAGGGGCCUGUAUCAAGCAAGAAAAUUUAGUGAAUAGGACAAUAGAAUUCAGCUGAUGAACAAGUUUGGAGACAGAAAUGAGAUUGUAAUGAAAGAUGGGAAUAUAGAGGACAUGAUGUAAGGUGAAGCAAAGAAAUUUGAUGGACCCAGUACAUGUUACCUUGACUUUGUAACCAUUAGGUAAGGUAACUAAGUAUGGCAUAACUAAUGGUUUAAUGUCAAACAGAAGAGUUUUAUUGGAAGUCAUGUGGUCAGUGGCACCAGAAUCUAUAAUCCAAAUGCAUUCACUAACUCUAGUUAACAUGCAAGCUCCAUAAGAUACAUUUCUUAGAGGACUGAGAGAAGAAGAGAGUGUACCAGCAAAGUUUGCAGAUGCCAUAAGACUUGAUUGAUGUUGAGAUUCUGAGACUUGUGUCUGUUGGAGCA